rnacentral:lncRNA from 1 species
UGGCUCUUUUAGAAUGAGUAGAAUUUCAAUGGGCUGAGAAUUGGGGAAAAUAUUUAGGGGAGGAAAAUGGCCUAAGAAUGGUGGGGAGGUGGAAGAGAGGCAUGCAUCUGAGUCAUUUUGCUCUUGAGGAUUUUAAUAUAACUUGAUUAUCUGUAUUUCUGAAUAAGUAUUUAAAAAAGGUAAAAGCAAAAAGACAUGCAUGUAAUGGACUGAUAAAUAAAAGGGAAAUAGUGGGAGCAUUAUACUGGGAGAAUCAUAGUCUUCCCAUUCCAAGAGGAAACUGCAUAUUAGAGGAAAGUAAUGUUAGACAUGUCUUGUGUGACAGCUGGGGCAGACUGUCACUCUGGACUCUGAUUAGACAUUUCAUCCAUGGACAGUAUCCUCCGUGAUGAGCCCUAGACACAUCUAAACCUUCUGUUUCUCAUUUUUGCUAAAGGGAACAAAGUAAUUUGAACUUUAGACAAGGGAGUUAGAAUGUAUUCUCAAAGGUGAAACUUCUGCCAACAUUCCUUCUCUUUCCAUCAGCCUCUCUCUACAACAAAACUGGGUAUAUCUGCAAAAUAAAAUGUAAAUGUUUUUGGUUAGUCUGGCUUUUUGGCUUAUUUGAGGUCUCCAGAAUAGACUCUAUCUACCUUAGCAAUCUAUUUAUUUAAAGUGUUGGACAACUCAGGGCAGGAAUGAUGCUUGCAGGCAGCGUCAGCUGAGAGUAGCAGUGGUAGCUUCUGCUUAUUGAAAUUAAAGAUGAGAUUUUAAAGGCAGGGUUUUGGAGACAUGACUUAUUAAGGCUAUGUAAUAGACGAUUAUAUCAUUAUUUUAGAUUUCAUUGAUUAUUAUAAUUAUUAUUUUCUGAAAAGCAUUAAUUUCAAUAUGGCCAUUGAACCCAGUUUAUAAUUAAUACUAUAAUUUAAACCAAAUUGAGUGCCCAUUUAGUUCAAAAAACAUAAAAGGACUCACAGUGGUCAGCCUCAGGGGAGAAAUCAUAGUUCUAAAGGGCCUUGGAGCAACUAAUUAGAUAGUUUUAGGGGGAAAAAAAGAACACGUCAAAAGGGUUCAUCCUUUGAGCUCUGUCUACUGUGUGUUUCACAUUACACUUUGUCUUAUUUUUCAGAUAUAUGGAAGUCGGAGUCCUUCUCCAAUAAGAUGUACAUUGCCAAGUAAGCAGGAUAGUUAAGACGGAUUGAGUUUUCUGCUUUUGAAUACUCUUCCUAGUAUUCAGCAUUGUGCAGCACCAUGAGUGUUUGGCUCCUUAGAGAAUAUCCUUUCCCUUCCUAUCAUCCAUUUCUGGGUCCUCUCACGGAUGGGACCCAUGCCGGAAGAGCCUCUAGUUGAGAGGUUUAAUUGCUGUAAACCUAGAUCAAUCACCCCUUUUACGUUUAUAUACUUCCAAAAGAAAACUCUAAGGAACUGGCCAUAGUGAUGAACUGUUUGUUUUUCUCCACAGGGUUUUAAAACCACCACGGGUGGUCCUAUGCCACCGCAUGUAGUGCAUCAUUGCAGCCACCUUUCCCCUGGGCCUCCUGCUGCCUGCCUUGUCUGCCUCCGACUUCAAUUAGCAUGAUGUGAACUGGCAUUCUGUGUAUCCCUCUACACACAGAGUUAAAUGUUUUGGCUUAGCGCAUCUGUAAUUUUAGAUAUAUUGCAUUUUAUUUUAUUUUAUAGGUACAAAUUCCAUUAAUUUCAUAAAAAAACGAUUGCAUAGGCAUUUAGGAUCAUAUUCAUUUGAAGCAAAGUCCAUUACAAAGAUUCAGGAUUUCCAUCUUGAAAUACUAGGUUCUUUUAUAGCAACUAUAUGAACAAGAGUGCAAAGUCUUUAACAUGCUGAAUCCAAAAGAAAGGGCAUUUUAGCUUAUAGGUUGAUCAUACAUGUUAUAAUUGUUAGUAUCAGCUUUUAACCUGAAAAAAAAAUGGGUGCUCUAAUUGCAUUUUAAGGUUUGGAAGACAACACCAAUCAUAUUAGUAGCAGUGAUGUAAGACUAAGUGUAACCUGUAAUAAUUUAAAAGUAUGUCACUUUGUUGGCUUGCUUUUCUGUUUUUGCUUUGAGAGUUACCCAUUUUGGCUUUGUGGAGUACCAAAUGUGGAAGUCACUUAGUUGAGAAGUUUCUUGCUUCAUAAACACAGAGCAGUAAUUUGAUUAGAUGCGGCUUUGAGAUAAAUGUUGAUCACCUUGCAUUAUCUACUUAGAAAUGUCUUAAACAGUUUAAAUGCACAUGUUAAAUAUACAAGUUACCUAUGGUACCUGUUCUUUACCUAUUCUUCCUCCUAUAAACUCCAACUGACUAAAAAUACUAGAACUUAAGAAGUAAAACUCAGGGCAUCAUUUAUCUAUUUUAAAUUGAGCUUUUCUCGCUUGACUUGUUUACUGUGAAGUACUCUUGAAAGUUCACAUUCAAGAUAAUAAAGAACUGUGAUUUCUCUAGAAGCAUGAUGUUCUUUCUGCCCUGCCUCCUCUUCUCAAUCCAUCCUUACACCUGAGCCCUUACCAUUGACUGCUGUUUCCAUACACCUUUUAGAGAGAAAUUUUGAAUUGGACACAUCUUAGUUUGCUGAAGUUCAGUACCUGAUGCUUUUCAGAUGGGUAGAACAAAAAACUUCUCUAGAGCAUCUUGCCCCUGUCCUGGGCGUGGGAGGACUUCCUUAGUCUCUUUUCUUUGAAUCCAAUGGCCACUGAUCUCUCUGAGGUGUGAAUUUAAUUUUCUCUUUGUGCAUUUAUGGCAUCACCUUUUUGAGAUCUCGUGGUGUGUUGGAAGGAGCACUAGGUGUCCCCUAGGUAGCUCCUAGAAUCCCUCUGGUCAUUAGCUUGCUUUGUGGGCUUGAGCAAGUUAUAUCAACUCUCUGAACCUCAGUUUCAUUGUAGAGUGAGAGUGCUGGAUGAAAUUAGUGCUUCUUUUAACCCUGUCAGGCUUAAUCUCUCUUUUAUAGCAAAUAUUUUAUUCUGGAUAUCCUGAGAUGAAAGCCAAAGUUAAUAUAAUCUAUGUACACAUAGAAUUUUAACAAUGGAUAUAGUACCCCAAACUGUAAAAUAAAACAGAGGGAAAGCAAAGCAAAUUUAAUAAAAUGUAUUUAAAAAUUUUAAAAGAAUGGGUAUAGUUACCCUAGAAGAUAAGGUGUUCGAUGCUUUUAUGCAAUACCUGCCUGUGGAAUCACUAGCUACAGCUGCAGAUUGAUGUGUGUUGUGUUGGCAGCAGAAGAUGUUAGUGUUGUCAUUAGAUACAACUUUCUGAAGUGGAAAGGGUCAUAUUAAAAGGGUACAAUUAGUUGGCUUGCUUGGUAAUGUUUUGAACAACAACAACAACAACAAAUAGUCUUGCUUGACUUGUACAGCAAAUUGCACUCCUGGACAAUUUAUUAUAUAUUAAAACCAUGCAAUUAGUUACUUUGUGUUAUGUGUUGAAAGAUUUUUUUUCUGAAGUGUAAGCAAUGAGAAUGCCUAUGUGCCAUAAUUUCUUUUCAGGAGACAGAUGUAUACUCUAAUUUGGAAAAAGGUCACACAGCUCAAUUAUUUGCUUUUGGUCCAGUCUGGCCACUUGCCAUUUCUCAAGUUUCUGAUUUGAACUCUAACUAUAGAGGGAAAGUGGAAUAGUCUAGAAUUGUUUUUGGAAAGAAUCUGUGAAACCAAAGGAAGCUGAUCUGGACUUAUUUCAUCUGGGUAUGUGACUUAACUUAGAAACACUGAAAAUGAAAAAAAAAAAACUUGUUUUUUUUUUUUUACCCUGGGUAAAUGUUAGUUUCUAUAUUAUUGGAUUAACAUCUAAUAAUAAAAUCAAUAAAAA